UCGGUCACGAUUAAACCAGUAAGGAUUCUUCGGGUUAUAUUUCAUUACUUCAUCAUACAAUAUAUGACCCAUUGGAGCACAUCCCAUGGGUAAACCCGGAUGACCGGAAUUAGCUUUUUCAACAGCAUCAAUAGCCAAAAAUCGAAUAGUGUUAACAGAUUUCUCAACAAUGGCUGCAUCAGUUUUCUCCAAAGUCUCUACAGCUGCGGAGGCACGAACAGAGAACUGUUGUUUAGUGACGGUAGUGGAAGGAAGAAUACGACGGUGGGAGGAAGUGAAAGGGGUG
rnacentral:lncRNA from 1 species